GCCCAGACUCCUACGGGAGGCAGCAGUGAGGAAUAUUGGUCAAUGGCCGUAAGGCUGAACCAGCCAAGUCGCGUGAGGGAAGACUGUCCUAUGGGUUGUAAACCUCUUUUAUGCGGGGAUAAAGGUGUCCACGUGUGGAUGUUUGCAGGUACCGCAUGAAUAAGGACCGGCUAAUUCCGUGCCAGCAGCCGCGGUAAUACGGAAGGUCCGGGCGUUAUCCGGAUUUAUUGGGUUUAAAGGGAGCGUAGGCCGGUCUUUAAGCGUGCCGUGAAAUUUUGUGGCUCAACCAUGAGGGUGCGGCGCGAACUGGAGACCUUGAGUGCGCGGAAGGCAGGCGGAAUUCGUGGUGUAGCGGUGAAAUGCUUAGAUAUCACGCAGAACCCCGAUUGCGAAGGCAGCAUGCCGGCUUCCGACUGACGCUGAAGCACGAAAGCGUGGGGAUCGAACAGGAUUAGAUACCCCUGUA
rnacentral:rRNA from 1 species